rnacentral:rRNA from 1 species
AGAGUUUGAUCCUGGCUCAGGAUGAACGCUGGCGGCGUGCUUACCUGCAAGUCGAACGAUGAACCACUUCGGUGGGGAUUAGUGGCGAACGGGUGAGUAACACGUGGGCAAUCUGCCCUGCACUCUGGGACAAGCCCUGGAAACGGGGUCUAAUACCGGAUAAUACUCCGGCCCUCAUGUGUGGGGGUUAAAAGCUCCGGCGGUGCAGGAUGAGCCCGCGGCCUAUCAGCUUGUUGGUGAGGUAAUGGCUCACCAAGGCGACGACGGGUAGCCGGCCUGAGAGGGCGACCGGCCACACUGGGACUGAGACACGGCCCAGACUCCUACGGGAGGCAGCAGUGGGGAAUAUUGCACAAUGGGCGAAAGCCUGAUGCAGCGACGCCGCGUGAGGGAUGACGGCCUUCGGGUUGUAAACCUCUUUCAGCAGGGAAGAAGCGCAAGUGACGGUACCUGCAGAAGAAGCGCCGGCUAACUACGUGCCAGCAGCCGCGGUAAUACGUAGGGCGCAAGCGUUGUCCGGAAUUAUUGGGCGUAAAGAGCUCGUAGGCGGCUUGUCACGUCGGGUGUGAAAGCCCGGGGCUUAACCCCGGGUCUGCAUUCGAUACGGGCUAGCUAGAGUGUGGUAGGGGAGAUCGGAAUUCCUGGUGUAGCGGUGAAAUGCGCAGAUAUCAGGAGGAACACCGGUGGCGAAGGCGGAUCUCUGGGCCAUUACUGACGCUGAGGAGCGAAAGCGUGGGGAGCGAACAGGAUUAGAUACCCUGGUAGUCCACGCCGUAAACGGUGGGAACUAGGUGUUGGCGACAUUCCACGUCGUCGGUGCCGCAGCUAACGCAUUAAGUUCCCCGCCUGGGGAGUACGGCCGCAAGGUAAAACUCAAAGGAAUUGACGG